GCGGGUAUAGCACAGUGGUUAGUGCAUCUGCCUUCCAAGCAGGCUACGGGAGUUCGAUUCUCCCUACCCGCU
rnacentral:tRNA from 1 species